GCCGUGGGUAGUGGAUGAAAAUCUUCUGGAUGAUGCUGCGAGGCCGGAAGACCUCCUUGGGGAAGAUGUCGAGCAGCAGGUUGUAGACAGCCAGGUCCCGCUCGACGCCGUACUCCCGCAUCUUGCGCAGAGCCAGGUGUGCACUUGGGGGUGCCUAUUUUACAGAUGAGGAAACCGAGGCCCAGAGAGAUGAAACACGAUGCCUGGUGUCUGUCACACAGCUACAGGCAGCAGAGCUAAGAUGGGAGCCCCUGCUCUCAUCUCUCUGCUCUGCUGCAUCCAGUAGCCAUCCUGAUGUCCUGCUGAGAUGUGUAGCCAUCAUCCUCUCCAUGGCCAUCAGCACUCUCAGCGGGUACAACCUGCCCUCCGUGGAGACAAUCAACAUCAGCCUCACUCUGUAAGGGUCAGCGAGGGCCCUAGUCGACAUUCUCCACUUCACCCCUACUCUACACUCCCGUGGGGUGAGGAGUUGACAGCACUGGGAAGAGGGGUGGAUACUGCUGAAGGUGUUCCAGGGAGGAAGAGACCCUUCCAGGAAAGUUCUCGGAGUGACGCUGCCCCAGCUAAGGAGCCUCCUGGGCAAGUCUCUCUCUACCCCAGCCCAGGCAGAGCCCAGACCAGGGCCUUGACCCCUGCAGGCCGGGCCCCUAGCUGCCCUGUCCAGAGCGGUCCAGAGUUGCUCCCCUCAUCCCACAGACUGCAGCUGAUGACUCUGGUGACCUGCUCUAUGGUCGAUGGGGUCCAGCUGGGUGGGACAUGACAUUCACUCAAUCCUCUGCCUACUUCUGAACCCUGUUCCCUUCAGACCUGGUGGUGAUUUUCCACAAUGGAAUCAGAUGUUCCUGUGUUACCAUUCGGCUUCUCUCUUCAGCUUCUGCUGCUUCUGGAAAGGUCCCUGGAGACACUACCUCUCCCACCACCCUACCUGCAUGUGUGGAACAUCUCUUGUGGGCUUGGUUACCAUGUGCUCCAAGAGGACAGGGAUAUUUUGUUCGUUUGUUUGAUAUGGUGUCCCCAGCAUUAGAGACAGAGCCUGGAACAUGGUAGGUGCUCAAUAGAUGUUAGUUAUUAAAGGUAGUGAAUAUUCCUGAAGCUCACCCCAACUUUUAAAGCCUGCCAACAGUCCCUUGUGACAGCCCCAUGCAUGCCUGCCUUAUGGGGACUGCCUUAUGCAUGCCUGACUAAUUACUCUGCCACUGCCCUCCCCCUGCGGACAGACCGCAGUGCCUUUCAGACUUCUAUGUCCAUUUGUGCCUGCUCACAGCCCUUGGUCAAUUUUGAGCCCCUCACUAGUGGCCUCACUGAAUGGCAUGGCCAUGGCUGUAGUCUGUGUAGCCAGCAUCAGUGUGAUGCUGUUCUAAUAUUUGAGGGGUGAUGACCUUGAUUAUGCUGGUCCUGAACAUCCUUAACAGGCUCUAGAUGUGCCGCAUCACACGGUCCAGAGACUGAGGUAGGGGAGCCCUCUCAGAGUGCCCCAGCGCAGAGUGUGGAAAGAGACUGUAGAGAUCUGGAGGAGCUUCCUUCCACCCACCAGCAUUCUUAGACCCAGGGCCAAAGUGGGGGAAGUUGUGCAUAGGAGGCUGAGGGUGUGCCCCCCCCACCACAAGAAGGCUCAGAGUCACUCAACAUGCAUUUGUUAUUAUUAUUUUUAAUAGAGGUACUGGGGAUUGAACCCAGGACCUCAUGCACGCUAAGCACGUGCUCUACCGCUGAGCUAUACCACCCCUGCCACAUGCAUUUACUGAGAGCCGCCUUUGCACUAGGCACUGUUCUAAGUGUUGAGGAAUAGCAAUGAGCAACAAAAAGAUUCCUGACCUUGGGGAGCUGGCAUCCUAGUGGGGGAAGACAGAUGAAAGACUCAGGUUCUAUAGAAAUAUUUUUACAACUAUUUUCAGCUUGAAAAAAUUAAGUGCAACUUCAAAACUGUUUAGGAUAUGAUUUUGUGUAUCAUUUUGUCAAUCUCCAUUGACUUGGAACUUAGAACAUAUUACCUUUUGUAUUUAACACUGAUUUUUAGUCCCUUUUUGCUUGUGUGUACAAUUUGAUUCUCUGUGUUCUCAUGUAAUUUAGAGAUUUAGAUUUAUGCCUUCUGUCAUUCUGCCAUCUCAAACAAAGCAUCAAAAUACAUUCAUUAAUUCAACAACUAUUUAUAUGUAUUUUAAAACAAAUAUAUGUUGUGUGCUAGAUCCAGAAGGAAAUAUAAAAUUAAUUUGAAAAACAGAAAUUUAAGUCCUCCAAGUGCUGAGAAUUUGUUUCCAAGAAAGAGCAUAUUUUCAUGAAGUAAAAAUAAAAUGCUAUGUGUGGUUAACAAAACGGCUGAUAUUAAUAAACAGAUUAGGAAUUUUUUAAGUAAAUAUUUUACAGCU